rnacentral:misc_RNA from 1 species
CCGAGUGAGGGCCUCCGGGCCCGACCUCCAACCCUUUGUGAACACACCCGUUGCUUCGGGGGCGACCCUGCCGUUUCGACGGCGAGCGCCCCCGGAGGUCUUCCAACACUGCAUCUUUGCGUCGGAGUUUAAGGAGAUGAAACA